UCUCCGUAGGUGAACCUGCGGAGGGAUCAUUACUGAGUGAGGGUCUCCGGGCCCGACCUCCAACCCUUUGUGAACCAAACUUGUUGCUUCGGGGGCGACCCUGCCGUUCGGCGCGGCGCCCCCGGAGGCUCAUCAAACACUGCAUCUCUGCGUCGGAGUCUUAAUGAAUUUAAACAAAACUUUUAACAACGGAUCUCUUGGUUCUGGCAUCGAUGAAGAACGCAGC
rnacentral:misc_RNA from 1 species